UGUAGUGUGAGUGAAUCAUCGAAUCUUUGAACGCAACUCGCGCUUAAGGCCAAUUACCUUAAGCACACUUGUUUGAGUGUCGGUGAGUAAUAUAAUUCAUUUUAAUGAGUUUCAGUUAUCUAUUCAUCUGGAUAAUCGUUACUUUAAAAUAAUUACAAGUUGAUCUUUUUAAUCAAAUACUACUAUUAUGUAGCAAAGUAUUAUACUUUAAUUCAUUUUAGAAGAAUAGAAAAAAAGCAUCAAAAUCACCUCUUUAUCAUCUCGACCUCAAAUCAAGUGAGAUUACCGGCUGAACUUAAGCAUAUCAAUAAGCGGAGG
rnacentral:rRNA from 1 species